UAGAGGGCUCAGAUCUAUGUGGUGGGCUCUGAUGCUAAGGUAGAGCUGGGGAUGUUGCAGUACAAGAGCUUUUGCAAGUGGAGGGUGAAGAUUUAUUAUAUUUUUCUUGCUAAGAGAAAUCUUGAAACACACUUUAAAAUCUCCCUGUGUCUGUGAUGGGCCUCACGAGCACCUGGAGGAGCUGGUGUGGCUGGAACACACGGGCUGCACUGGAGAUCCCAGCUUGUGGAGACAGAGCUGGCCUUGGGAUGAAGCUGCUGGAUGUCCAGGAGCUGCCCCGGCUGUUUCCUUGCUGCCCAGCAGUGGCAGGGGCUCUCCAGAGCCAUUCCUUCCCUUCUGCUUUAAAAGACAGAGAGAAGCAACUCAGACUUCCAGCUGUGGAUUUUGGAUGCUUUCCAAAAAGUUUGGGCUUCUGCCUGGAUAAAAUACAUCCCUGGCACCCUUCCAAGAGCUAUUUAUAGCAGGAGCUCCUAGAAGACAGUGUGACAACUCCAGAAAACAAGGAAUUGCCAAAUCAUCCUGCAGCGAGCAGCAGCAAAUUAACCCCUCGCCAGACACACCCACGGGAGCCACACAUGCCCAGAGCCCCAGACCCUGCCGAGGACUGGUACCAAGUGACUUCAUGAAGGAAAUGCUGUGAAGAAUCAACAAGGACAGCUUAAGAUUCCUGCACAAAAAGCUGUGUCAUGAGGUGCCCAUGAGGUUUUUGCCCUUCUGUCGAGUCCCAUGGAUACAAUCCCUGAGGACAAGAGGAGCUGGUUCUCCCUGGACAUGGCACACACGGGUGUCUGCAAAAACACCUCCACUGCAGAAACACUGAUCUCUGCCAGCCCUCAAGCUGCUCUUGCCUUUGCUGCACACCUUAAAACAAGGAUGUACUGAAGAAGGCAGCACCUCUCCAGUGUGACCAGUGACAGGUACCUGCACGGCUUGUUCCAAUCAGCAGCCUCAGCGUGGCUGCUCCUCCUCCCUGAAGCCCCAAGCCCCACAUCUUGUCUGAGGCAGGAGGAAGGAGACUGACACAGUUCUGCGAGUUGUUUUUUUUCCUGCUGCUACUGGAAACCUGCUCACAUCUAUUGCGGAGAUGAUCAAGAAGCAUUUUUCUACAAGUAAGCCAUGGCUAAAUGUGUCUGGAUGGGUUAAAGUCCCCCUUUUAUGCGGCACUGAGAUGGUGUGUGCCCUUGUGGAGGUGCUCAGCACAGGCUGGCUGGGUGGUGUGUGAGCUGCAGCUCUGGUUUGUGUUGCUGGAAUCUCUUGGAGCAUCAGCUCCGCCGUCUCCUGGAUGCAGCAUUAAUUAAACAGAAUGGCCCCGCUCCAGGCCCCAGUGGACAAGCAUCCACAUGGCAACUGUGAGCCUUGUCAGCAGCAAGAGAUUAAGGAAUUAAUUGGCAGGGUUAAUCUUCGUGUCAGGGUUGGAAAUGAAUUGUUAAUUUGUUUGGAUGAGUGUAAAGUCCUCUGGCAGCGAUGGCAGGUGGGAUCACAUGAGGGAAGGGCUGUGAAGCUGCCCUUCCUGGGCACCUUUCUGCUUCACACCUCUGCCAGCAGACAUCUCCAGCUCUCUGCCCCCAGGUGUGAGGCUCCCAGGCAGGGUUGGAGGAGCUCCUUGUGUCACUCCCAUCCUUUCAGGUGACAGCACAGCUGCUCCAGCCUGUGACGUGGGAGAAGGGCUGGCUGCAGCUUGGGAGGGCUCUUUUUAAUUCCAGCCUUUCUGAUCUUCCUCCCUGGUGCUGUUGUCUGUCCCUUGUCUCUGGCUGUGCAUGGCAAGUACUGGGUGAGGCCAACCUGCUCCAGGAUAUGAGUGAGGAAGAGACAUGCUUGCACCAAAAUGCCACUUUUGGGGCGCAGAGUGUAAAACUUGAUUGGCCUGUGUGGACACUAAACCCUGUCAGACACUUCUCUCCCCCUCCAGGACACUGUAGAAAGAGAAUCUGUCAGGGAUGGGUGUUUGGAGAUUCAUCAGCAGCACAGCUGAACCUGCCCUGUGUAGCUAAGAAGGCCCACAGCAUCUUGCUGGCAUGAGCAGCUACUCCAGUGAACUCCCACCUGAGUUGCCAUUUUCUAUUCCACAUAAAACCACCCUUCACAGUUUCUUGACUUAAAAUUAUUAUUAGUUAUUUGUCCUAAAAUGUCAAUAAUGCAGUGAUAUUCUAGCAGAGCUUUUCUGUACUGUCAUUUCCUAUUAAUUCCUUAGAAAUAGUGACAACAUAAUCUGGAACAAGACUAUCACCUUGUCUAUGCCAUAUAUAAAAUAUUAAUACUAAAAGUGGACUGGGUUCAUCCUAGACCUAAUUAGUUCUUUGGAGAAUUUACUUUGUGCAGCAGCCUGGACUGUCCAUAUUGAUGUUAACAUAUUAUAUAAUCAGCUUUGGAACAGGCAGCAGUCUGAAGGCUGGGUUCUGUGUCCCUCUGCUAAGUCACUACCCUGAGGAGAACACUGAAAAUCAGCAGAAUUUGACUGGAAAACAAGAGCACAAAGGCCUGGGUUUUGUAAGGACUUGUAGAAUGACUGAUUAUGUCCAAAUCAACAUUGUUUGCAAACUGUGCUCUCCAAACACAUUUUUAUCGCUAUAUAUAUAGCAGAGAUUUUAAAAAAUGAGUUAGAUGUUCCCUUUUGCUGUCCAAAGAGGGUGGUGAAGUCAUGGAACAUGCUAUUUUGAUAAUUUGGAACAUGCCCCAGGAGCUGAUUAAAUGAUCUCUCUUGCUCUGUAUGUGAACUGUGCGUUUCCAUGCAAACAUCACAAGGGUCAGAGCUGCACACAGGAGCCUGCAGGAUCUGCUCUGUCUCUGCCUGGCUUUUUACUACCUGUUUAAACACCAUACAUAUUUUAAUAGACAGUUUAAUAGACAAUAGCUUGUCAACUGAAAUACUUCCCUAUAAAAGCAAGCAGUGGAUGAAGUGGAAUUGCUACUGUGAAUUUAAUGGCCCAGAAAUUCCUCCCUGGCACAGGUGCCCAGAGAAGCUGUGGCUGCCCCUGGAUCCCUGGAAGUGUCCAAGCAUCUUCACCUCGACUUUCCAUGAAGAAAUUUGCCAUCUUCCCUCAAAAAUGGAAACAGGAAGAAGAAAUCAGCUGUUGUCUGUUGCUCAAACCCUUGGGAGGCAGGACCUGAUGGAGAUUUAUCAUCUCACUCCUGGCUCAGAUUGUUGCUCUAAUCUUGUCGACAGGAAACAAUAAAAUAUCCACUCAGAUUAAUAUGUGAGAUUGAGAGAUCCAAUUAGCGCUCACAUCCUUCAAUCCUUACGGG